rnacentral:rRNA from 1 species
CCUACGGGAGACUGCAGUGAGGAAUAUUGGUCAAUGGGCGGAAGCCUGAACCAGCCAAGUAGCGUGCGGGAUGAAGGCCCUACGGGUCGUAAACCGCUUUUGCACGGGGAUAACACCCUCCACUUGUGGAGGUCUGCAGGUACCGUGCGAAUAAGGGCCGGCUAAUUCCGUGCCAGCAGCCGCGGUAAUACGGAAGCCGCGAGCGUUAUCCGGAUUGAUUGGGCUUAAAGGGUGCGUAGGCGGGAGUUCAAGUCAGCGGUAAAAUCGAGCGGCUCAACCGAGCCCCGCAGUUGAAACUGGGCGCCUUGAGUUCACAACAGGCAGGCGGAAUUCGUGUUGUAGCGGUGAAAUGCAUAGAUAUCACGAGGAACCCCGAUUGCGAAGGCAGCCUGCCGGGGUGCGACUGACGCUGAUGCUCGAAGGUGCGGGUAUCAAACAGGAUUAGAUACCCGAGUAGUC